rnacentral:rRNA from 1 species
AUACGGAGGGUGCAAGCGUUAUCCGGAUUCAUUGGGUUUAAAGGGUGCGCAGGCGGAAUGAUAAGUCAGUGGUGAAAUCCUACAGCUUAACUGUAGAACUGCCAUUGAUACUGUCAUUCUUGAGUACACUUGAAGUGGGCGGAAUGUAUCAUGUAGCGGUGAAAUGCAUAGAUAUGAUACAGAACUCCGAUAGCGAAGGCAGCUCACUAAAUUGUAACUGACGCUCAGGCACGAAAGCGUGGGGAGCAAACAGGAUUAGAAACCCCUGUAGUCC